CCUACGGGAGGCUGCAGUGGGGAAUAUUGGACAAUGGGGGGAACCCUGAUCCAGCCAUGCCGCGUGUGUGAAGAAGGCCCUCGGGUUGUAAAGCACUUUCAGUGAGGAAGAACGCCUGGUGGUUAAUACCCAUCAGGAAAGACAUCACUCACAGAAGAAGCACCGGCUAACUCCGUGCCAGCAGCCGCGGUAAUACGGAGGGUGCGAGCGUUAAUCGGAAUUACUGGGCGUAAAGCGCGCGUAGGUGGCUUGAUAAGCCGGUUGUGAAAGCCCCGGGCUCAACCUGGGAACGGCAUCCGGAACUGUCAAGCUAGAGUGCAGGAGAGGAAGGUAGAAUUCCCGGUGUAGCGGUGAAAUGCGUAGAGAUCGGGAGGAAUACCAGUGGCGAAGGCGGCCUUCUGGACUGACACUGACACUGAGGUGCGAAAGCGUGGGUAGCAAACAGGAUUAGAUACCCGUGUAGUA
rnacentral:rRNA from 1 species